rnacentral:lncRNA from 1 species
GGGGACUUUGAGGUGUCUUUCUCCGACAUGCUCUCUCUUCAACCAAGUCCAACCUUUCUUGUAUCGGUUCAAGCUUCCGGUCAAAAAGUCGCUCUACCUCGCUUAACAUGGCUUGAAGAGUAAGGUCUGGAACAUUUCGAACAGGUUGUCGUGCUUGUCGCUCCUCCAUAUUUUGAUCAAAAUUUUGUGACAUAAAACAAAUUAAACAAUUCAGAACUAAAGAAAGAUAAUAAUAAAAAAACCUCACAGCAAACCUUAUAUUCACUCGGA